GACAGAGGAGCCAAGCGUUGUCCGGAUUGACUGGGCGUAAAGCGCACGCAGGCGGCUGUGCACGUGGGGUGUGAAAGGUGGCGGCUUAACUGCCACACGCCACCUCAUACGGCACGGCUCGAGCCCGUGAGAGGUCCACGGAAUUGCCGGUGUAGUGGUGAAAUGCGUAGAUAUCUGGAGGAACACCGGUGGCGAAGGCGGCAUCCUGGACCAACACUGACGCUGAGGAGCGAAAGCCAGGGGAGCAAACGGG
rnacentral:rRNA from 1 species